rnacentral:rRNA from 1 species
GACGAACGCUGGCGGCGUGCCUAAUACAUGCAAGUAGAACGCUGAAGGAGGAGCUUGCUUCUCCGGAUGAGUUGCGAACGGGUGAGUAACGCGUAGGUAACCUGCCUGGUAGCGGGGGAUAACUAUUGGAAACGAUAGCUAAUACCGCAUAAGAGUAGAUGUCGCAUGACAUUUGCUUAAAAGGUGCAACUGCACCACUACCAGAUGGACCUGCGUUGUAUUAGCUAGUUGGUGAGGUAACGGCUCACCAAGGCAACGAUACAUAGCCGACCUGAGAGGGUGAUCGGCCACACUGGGACUGAGACACGGCCCAGACUCCUACGGGAGGCAGCAGUAGGGAAUCUUCGGCAAUGGACGGAAGGCUGACCGAGCAACGCCGCGUGAGUGAAGAAGGGUUUCGGAUCGUAAAGCUCUGUUGUAAGAGAAGAACGAGUGUGAGAGUGGAAAGUUCACACUGUGACGGUAUCUUACCAGAAAGGGACGGCUAACUACGUG